CUAGAAGACUUGAAUGACCAUAAA
rnacentral:siRNA from 1 species